CGUUUGCCAUGGGACCCUACAUUCACCUAAUGCAUAUCCUCUCUCCUCAGAGGGAACACCAAUCAUCAUAGAGAGUGAUUCACCAAUACUUACUUAGAGGAGGGAGAAAGAGAACCUCAGAGAUAACAAUCAAAUGGUUUUUUUCAUUCUUUCCACUUGUUUAUUCCAUCUUCACAACAAUUUUAUUUUCUUUUUUCAUAUGCAUGCUACAUGUUCAAUGUAACUAUAUUCAACUUGCCAUGACCCAUCUAGGUAAUUGCUUAUUUCUUGCCCAAAGUCUCACUUCACAUAUCUAGCCUGAAGGUUCUUUUCACUUGGACUUGACCUUUGAGUCAUUCUCUUGAACCAAGAUCCACAAGAAUAAUCCUCUUCACCAUUACCAAGGUAAGGUAAAGGGUCAAACCCGCAUACAACUUCUAAUCUUCAUGCAUUAUGCUCAAUAUUUUCAUGAUUAAAUAGUAUCAAAGACUUUGAAGACGUUACAUGUCAAAUCAACAAGUCAACCAUGCAAAACAUCACUUU
rnacentral:lncRNA from 1 species